CUGUAAUUGGGAGUCUCAUAGGGCUGCACACAACUGGCCGAGAUACAUACUUUACACUUUCAGUGUUCAUGACACAACGCUCAGCCACCCCUGGUCCCUUUGACUACUCUAUGAUCCACCAAAUAACAGCAGAUUGACAUGGACAAACAUUUGCAAGGAGGGAAAGCAUUUGGAUUCCUCAAGUCUCAGCAAGAUGUGAAACUGAACUCCAUCAAUGAGGUCUGUUGUUCAUCUGUCUAUAAAUGUUAUUAUGGUAGUAUUAUCUAG